rnacentral:ncRNA from 1 species
UAUCUUUGCCGCUUGAAUACGAAAAGCGUAUCAAUACAUAAAAAUCAUUUAAAUAAAUAUUGGAAUG